GAAGGUAUAGCUCAAGGGGUAGAGUGUAUGCUUAGCAUGCACGAGGUCCUGGGUACAACCCUCAGCACCUCCU
rnacentral:tRNA from 1 species